rnacentral:rRNA from 1 species
AGCUCCAGAAGCGUAUAUUAAAGUUGUUGCAGUUAAAACGCUCGUAGUCGGGUUUCGGGUCGGGCCGAGCGGUCUGCCGAUGGGUAUGCACUGUUUGGCGCGGCCUUCUUUCCGGAGACCGCGGCUACUCUUAACUGAGCGGGCGUGGGAGACGGAUCGUUUACUUUGAAAAAAUCAGAGUGUUUCAAGCAGGCAGCUCGCUCUUGCAUGGUACAGCAUGGGAUGAUUGAAUAGGACUCCGGUGCUAUUUUGUUGGUUUCGAACACCAGGAGUAAUGAUUAACAGGGACAGUCAGGGGCACUCGUAUUCCGUCGAGAGAGGUGAAAUUCUCAGACCAAUGGAAGACGAACCACUGCGAAAGCAUUUGCCAGGGAUGUUUUCACCA